GAUCCUGGCUCAGGAUGAACGCUAGCGGCAGGCUUAACACAUGCAAGUCGAGGGGCAGCAUAAUGGAUAGCAAUAUCUAUGGUGGCGACCGGCGCACGGGUGCGUAACGCGUAUGCAACCUACCUUUAACAAGGGGGAGUAACACUGAGAAAUUGGUACUAAUACCCCACUAACAUCAUGAAAGGCAUCUUUUAUGGUUGGAAAAUUACCGUACUGGUUUAGGUAGAUGGGCGAUGCGUUGUAUUAG
rnacentral:rRNA from 1 species